rnacentral:rRNA from 1 species
AUUGAACGCUGGCGGAAUGCUUUACACAUGCAAGUCGAACGGCCUCUCGGACUUCGGUCUGGUGGCGAGUGGCGAACGGGUGAGUAAUGUAUCGGAACGUGCCCAGUCGUGGGGGAUAACGUAGUGAAAAUUACGCUAAUACCGCAUACGAUCUAUGGAUGAAAGCGGGGGAUCGCAAGACCUCGCGCGAUUGGAGCGGCCGAUAUCAGAUUAGGUAGUUGGUGGGGUAAAGGCCCACCAAGCCAACGAUCUGUAGCUGGUCUGAGAGGACGAGCAGCCACACUGGAACUGAGACACGGUCCAGACUCCUACGGGAGGAAGCAGUGGGGAAUUUUGGUAAAUGGGCGAAAGCCUGAUCCAGCCAUUCCGCGUGCAGGAUGAAGGCCCUCGGGUUGUAAACUGCUUUUGUACAGAACGAAAAGGUUUCUACUAAUACUAGGAGCUCAUGACGGUACUGUAAGAAUAAGCACCGGCUAACUACGUGCCAGCAGCCGCCGUAA